rnacentral:lncRNA from 1 species
ACUAUUUAUUCUCUUAUUACGAAAAUAUAAAUUAAGCAAACUCAUGCCAACAGACUGAGAAAAACACAUAAAUGAAAUAUAUAGAAUCCCGUCAACUAGAACCUGAAGCAGCUAUUCCAACGACGUGGCUGUUUUGAUUCAUUGAUCCUUGCCUCCGGUUUCGGCUUCUCAGAGGCCACGGGUUUGAAACCCUGCACACCAAUAUGUAUAUAUAAAUAUUGCUGAAAGCUGUAUUAUAUAUAACUACCUCCUUCCCAAAGAAAAAUGGCUUAGUUUAACUUUUCUUGCAAAAUUGGUAAUUUUAGAAUUCAGAAUUAAGCAUAUUUAUUCAUAUUUUUAUACUUCUAAAAUUGGAGAUAAUAGAGAAUUCGAUAUAAUUUCUUAUAAUUAUAGUUUCUCUACGUCUAUUUAUAAGAAAAUAAUAUAAAUUUUGAUUACAAAUUAAAAUAGUUAAUUUUUUUUUAAAAAAGUUAAACUAAGCAAGCUUUGGUGAGACCGAGGGAGUGUAUAAAUGAUUUCCUCCAUGUAGAACUCGAGUUCCUUUUACGAAUUUGUUGGAUUAAUUAAACUAAAUCUAAGUUUCAUAUUUUAUUAUUUUCUUGUGAAAAUAAAUUCGAAAAUGUUGUUUCUAGAGCAAGUGGUCUAAAAUUUCUUUAAAAUGUAUCGUCCAAACAAGUAUAAAUUUUACCAAGUGAAAACAGAGUUUAUAUCAUUUGUUGUGAAUUACAAACCUAUAUAUACCAUAUUUUAUUAUCUUAAAGGGAGAAUCACUAUGGUUGAGUAGGAGCAAAUCAAAAAAUUGACAAAUAGAAUUAUUUAAUUUGAUUCGUUCUCAGUAGUUAUGAGAUGAUCCUUUUAAGGUAAUUCUUUUGUCGACGGAUAUUCCUAUUAUACUCGUAAUUUUUGAAGGAUGAUAACCAGCUAUAUAGUAUCUUCACCAAAAAUUCAAGUAUUGUAUAUGUGCAUGGUUACUCCGAUCUCAUUGUGUAGUUUUGAACUUAUGUGUGUUUUUAGUUUUUUGUGGUUUUUUUAGUAUUAGUUAUUAUGGUUUUGAAAAAAAAAAGGUUUAGUGAAUUAUGCGGUAAAAUGUGUUGGGAAACCUCCUCUAAUUAUAAUUAUUUUUGAUAAAUUAAAUAACAAAUCACGUCAAAUAAAUAAUUCAAUUUUACCAAAUAAAUUAUAAUCGCAAAAAUAAUAUAACGAAAAAAUAAAUUAAACACAAGACACCAAAUUUUAUGUGGAAAACCUUUUAAAACUAAAACGUUAAAAUUACGGGCCGAACUCCGAAAAAAUUUCACUAUAAUCAAGUGCGAGUAUAAAUAGUUUUUCCACGUUUUAUAAUUAAAAACUUAAAAUAUUAUGAAAUUUAGAUAAUAUAAAAAUAUUUUAAUAUCACUCAAAUUACCCCACUAGUCGGAACCUUCGAAUUAAUUAAAGUCUUACAAGCUACAGCUGCUAAUCAAUCCGAAUAGAUGAUGAACAAGACAAACAUUCUUUUCAAACAAAUUAUAGAACCCUCAAUUUCUCUCAUCAAAACUGAUGCUAUAUUAUCUCACAAACUGAUUAUAUAGAACUCACUAUUGGAUUCCUUAUACUUUCUUAUUCAGUGAGUUCACGCCACAUAUACCAUAUAUAUACUCCGAAAUCCUGAUUUGCUUUUGAAAAUCAUAAUGCAUAUAGCAUAUCCUGUCUCCUAAACUGAUUCGGAAUUCCCCAAGAAAAACAACAUAUUGGUUUCCUGCCUAAAAUAGUAUUACGCCCACAGUUUUUAUUCCAAUCACAAAUUCUGUGUUAUACUCUCCAAUUCUUUUCUAAUUUGACUUUUGCCCAUAAGCCUCUUGGGUUUGGAUUAAUAUGUCCAACAAUCUCCCCUUUUGAUCCACGAGCGGAGAGUAUUUUUUAUUGUGACAUCAUCACUUAGAGUCCAUCUCGAUUAACACCUUACAAAACUCCAGCUUAUCACGAGUUAUAACAUUUGUCAACAUGUCUUAGGAUUUCUCAUCGAUAUGAACUUUAUUCACUUUCAUCAAUUCCUUUUGCAUCAUUUUUUGAAGUUAGUGAUAACGAACAUCAAUGUGCUUGGUACAAUUAUGAUAAGUGACGUUCUUAGUCAAGUCAAUUGCACUUUGACUAUCACAAUAAAUCACGUAUUCAUCCUGUGUCAAACCCAACUCUUAGAAAAGUCGUUUUAACAAUAACAUCUCAUUGUCUGCUUCCGUAACGGCAAUGAAUUCCUACUUAGUUGUAGAAAAAACAACACACUUCUACAAUUUGGACUGUCAUGAUAGAGCUCUCCUGCAAAAAUAAACAAAUACACCGAAUUAGACUUCUUCUCUUCAGAACUUGCUAUGUCUGCAUUUGUAAGACCCUUCAAGACUGGGCGCGAUCCACCAAAACCCAAACACAAACUGGAAGUAGCUUUCAAGUAUCUAAGAAUCCACUUAACUGCUUCUCAAUGUUCUCUAUCGAGAUUUGACAAAUACAUGCUCGCAAUGCCAACUGAAUGCCCAAUAUUUGGCCGUGUGCAAACCACUACAUACAUAAGACUCCUUACAGUUGAGUUGUAGGGAACUGCUGUCAUAUCAUCUCUCCCUUCCUUAGUAGAAGAACACAUACGCUUUGUUAACUUAAUAUGACUGACCAGUGGUGUGCUAACUGGUUUAACACCACCACUAGUUCAAAACAGUAAAUAGACAACACUUAAACAACAACAUUUUUAUAAAAAAACGUUGUGGUAUUUUUUUUCACAACGUUUUUUAACAAAAAGUUGUAGAUACAUAUGAAAAAACGUUAUCUAUUUAUAAGGGAAAUUUUUGGUUUUAAAUAGAUAACGUUUUUUUAAAAAAAACGUUAUCUAUGUCAAAAACACGGAGCUUAAAAUAAAUCGCGCGGAAGUGAAAACUUGAAAUUAAAAACCCUCCCCUUGCCUCCCAGCCUUCCAACAACUGAAGCAGCUCUCCCAAAUCCCAAUCUACACCCUUGUUCACGCCAGGGAUUACGAUAAUCGGACUCCGCUUCAUGUUGCUUCGCUUCACGGUAACCACCCUCUGUUCUAUUAUUAAUAAUUGAUGUAGUAAUUGAUAAAUAAAAACACUUUUCUAAUUCUCUCUCUCUCCUCUCUCUGGCUAGGGUUUGUGACUUUGUAGCGAGAGGGAACAAUGAUACAACUAUUGUUCAUGUUGAUUUUUACCGAAAUGGCGGGGAUUCUGCUACUGUUAUUUAGAACCCCUCUACGAAAGCUUCUGAUUAUUGGUUUAGAUCGCAUUAAACGGGGAAGGGCACCGCUCGUCGUCAAAUCUGUCGCCGCCACCGUCUUCGUCAUCAUGAUGUACACCGUUUACACCAUUAGAGAAAUCCAGACCCGUCCGAUGGAAGCCCUUAACCCUACUGAUCACGUCCUCUUGGCUAAUUAAAUACUCGAUGUAACGCCCUGAAAUCCGGUCUAUUUUCACAUCUGGAUUUCAUACGUCACGAUCCCAUCUUCUUCCAAACAUACAUCAUUAUAUACUGAAAUAUAACAAUAUACAUUCUAAAUUCACAGGUUCUAAAACCUUAUAACUCCUUUCAUUACAAAUAAUGAUAAUUACAUUAUCAUUUACAUCUUACACGAGUGACUUUCAUCCGCCAAUAAGGAUACAUAACAGUUCAUUAAACUAAUCUAAAGCUCAUUUAACUUAUUUUAUAUUACAAGUCUUCGCUCGAUCUUCUCGCUCAUCCACAUUCUGAAUGGCACUUCAUCUGGAUACCGUCAACUUGAUCUUUAUGGGAUCCUUAAGUUCUUCUAACAUCGUACGCUAAAAAUGUUUUUUAUUUAAAGCAAGUGUGAGCAUUCAAUUGCUCAGCAAGUCAUAGUAGUUGAACAAACAACUUCAAGAGUUUAAACGUUCCUUUAGAACUUCGAUAACAGAACAAAGGUUAUGAAGCAACUUGAAUAAUAGGAAUAAUCUCGAUUCAUAUCAUUUUAAAACAAUAUUCACUUUCAUUUUAAAAUACUUUCAGUCUUCUACCUUUUUCGUACACGUUCUGUCUGGCUAGAAUCAUUAGCACAGACUUAACAAUAACGAAUCAUGUAUAAACAGAGCAUUCUCUUAUUGAACAGUUAAAUCACAGAAUAGUUCAUCACAUAAAAACACCGAAGUGUUCACAUUGUGGCACAAGUCCUCAUAUGUUCUACCACCUUGCACAAAUAUCGUACAUUAACACAUAGACGGAACUUCUCAAGUUCAACAUCUGAAAAAUUUAAGAAACUAGCAUUCAUUUAAAAUAUGAAUGAAGUUAGGAAACUUUCCUUACGCACCAGCUACAGCUUACGCUGAACUGCUCAUUCCAGUUCCUAUGUAGCACAUAAGAAAAACAACACAUACACUAAUUAGUCAUGUAUUUUUGACUUAUGCAUUAGUUUACUUAACUUUACUUCUUAGGGUUCGCAUUCUUGCAACCAAAGUUUACGCGACCACUUUCAUUACCGUUCUAUGGCUUCAUGACAUAUGGAGAUGUCUUACUUAUACGUUCAUCAUCUUUGAUGUUUUACAUUCUUAUCUUCUUUUUAUAACUUCUCUAGGACUCAGCACACAUCGCUUCUCUAGUAGUAGUCCAUAUGGUACUCUGAGUGGUUUUCCAAAAAUAACCACCAAACAAGUUCCCGUCUCGUCUUCACUUGUUUAAGUGUUAUAUUAGUUGAACAUUAUGUUCUUUAUCGUCCCGUACGUUUCCCCAAAGAGUUGAGCAGUUAAAAGCUCUUCUCUGGCUUUUUCCCUACACUAGUGCUGCGGCGCCACUCUCUUCUUUCUCUCGCGCCGCGGCGCGAGUUUGCAGUACCCGGCUUCCUGGCCUGGCGCUGCAGCGCCACCUUACAAGGCAUGGUUGGCGCCGCGGCGCCAAGCCCUAACCCUAGAAAAUUUCUUUUAAGUGUUAAAUCUAAUUUGAGACGCUUACUUCCCGCUUCCAUAACUUAUUCGUUAUAACUCAGAACGAGGUCGUUCCAAAGCCAUUCUCUUCCUUAUCUUAUAUACUUCAAUACCCCUCAGAUAGAACUUCGUUCUGAAUUUGUUAAUGUGCCAUUCAAUUGGCUUGAUCUUCUCCCUUCAUUCAUUUUACAUUUUUAACGCUCUUCGUUCGUUCUUCCGUAAUUCGGUCAUCCAAACUCAGAAUUCGUUCGUUCUUGAGUCCAUAACUCACGUUUUCUAUGUUCUCUUACAUUCUUAUGAAACCCUACACGUUCGGGUUCAUUUACUAACUUUCUAAUUCCCGUUUGUCUUUUACGAAAUUUUUGUCAUAACUUCGUUAUAGCUAAGUUUUAAUCCGUUCUUCAUGAACGUUUCUAUCGUUCCUAACCAAGCAAUAUUCACCUAACUUAUACACGAUGGUUUUAAACUUUUCCAUCAACAACAAUUAUCCUACGAUGGUUUUAAAUUUGUCCAUCAACAACGUUCUUCGUGUUCUUCGCAUGUUCUUCGUUCGUUCUUCAUUUUUAAUCGAUAUUUUGGAUUACGAUUUCACUUUUUAUUGGAAUUUGAUGUUAUAAAAUAUCAUUCCUUACUUAUUUCACCUACUUAUUUAUAUAAUCCACUCGGAUCGUUCUAAUUCAUUACGAAUCUUAUACUUCCUUAAGAAAUUUAUUUACUAAACUUUAAAUUCUUAUUUUCAUUAUUUCUCAUGAUUUCAACUAUAUGAAAUCAUUCAUAACCUCAUCUACUUCUUGUUCUCAUUAAUUUAUGUUUUAAACAUAUAGGACUUAAAGAGAAUUUAAAUUCGACUAGGUUUUAGGUUACCUCUCUUCUUUAUUUUUCUUCCGCUAAACAAAGCCGGCGAUUUGCAAGCUUUUUUAUUUCACGAUCACCUUCGAUCCGAUCAUUCAUGCUCAUGCUCUUCCUUCGCCCCCUUCAUCUGAACCCUCUCUCUCUAGUUUGUAGGAUUUUCAAAAUCCCAUUUAAAUGAAUUAAGCUUACUAUUUAUAGAAAACCAAGGCUAGGGGUAUUUUAGUCAUCUCGCCACCCAACCUCCUUACUAUUCACACCUCCUUACUAUUCAUGACUUAGGUGUUAAGUUAACGUAGCCCUUAAAUCUACUUAGCCUUUAAGUUUCGUGGUUCCAUCUUUCGGGUUUUCGUCCGACAGUUUUAAAAACUGCGAUUCUCGGAAUCCAAAUAUUUUUGGAUAUUUCGUCUUUCCUUUACCGAUUAAAUUUACGUAUUCUUCAGAUUUCUGAAAAACUGAAAAACACUUUUUGGUGUUAAGUGUUUUCCUUCACGUUUUCCCCUAACGUAGCUAAACGAAUGAAAAGUACAUAACAGUACUUUUUCGUCAUUUUUAUUUCGUCCGAUUUCUGCAUGUUUUUCGAGAAAAACUUUUAUCGGCUUACUUAACAUUUCAAGAUAUAUUAUCGUCAAAUCUUUCAACGGAAUGUCAUUUCGACAUACCGAACUCUCAAAACGGCUUAGGUUAUUCAAACCCUAACCCUUAGGUUUCGUCGGGUGAACAGUGUCUAUUUCGUCUUUUUCCCUAGAAAUAUUUUUGUUCCCGAAAAAUUUUUAUUUUUGUCUUGAAAAUUAUUACUCGUUCAGUCUAGCUCGUAGCCAGAAUCCUCCCGACUUAUAAUCAUCCUAGGUUCUAGAAUGAUUAAUAAACACAUAGCACAUAAUAUUAUUAAUAAAAUUUAUUUUAUUAAUAACUAAUUCUUUAAAUUUAAAUUCUGGAAAAUUCGAAUUUUCGGGUUGUUACACUCGAAGCCCCUCUCAUGGGUACAAUUCAACAAUAUUUCAUCUUCGCCUAUAUACACCUAAAAGUUUUACUUGAUCUUUAAUUGGAGGCGAUUUAAGUUCAAAAUUGUGAUAUACGAUAUAUUUUGCUUAAAGUUAGUUUUUUCAUUGUUAAUGUCUGUUUUAUUGCUUAAUUUUAUAUGGCUCUAGUCUGUUUCAUUCUUUUAUUGUUUGAAGUUAGUUUUUUCAUUGUUAAUGUCCGUUUUAUUACUUAAUUUUAUAUGGCUCCACUUCAUUCUUUAUAAUUUAAACUAAAAAAAUACAUACCUAAUUUUGGAACGAAUUUAAAAAAUAUAUAUAUAUUAUCUUAAUUUUAAAAUGACGGGAGUAAUCAAAAUAUUAAGUCGCCCUAUUUGUGGAAUACUAGUAAUUACUGAUUAAGUUAAAAAACAAUCUAGUAAUGUGAACUUGGGAACAUAACUACUAAGUAGCCCUCCCUGGCAAAACACAAAAAUAUAUUUAUAAUUCUAUUUUCCUUGAACAUUGAAGUGAACAUAUAAUGUUCCAUAACUUGAGUUGGAUUCUGUAUGCAUGCACCUGUUGUUAAUUUUUAGUUUGGACCCAAGAAACGAUGGAACAUUAUAUGGUGCAUCUUCAAAUGGAACCAUCAGUUGCACUAACUUGGAGACAUGAAUUUCAUCAAUGAGGUAAUGCUUAUUGUUUUUACUGCCAUUUUAGGUACUUAAGCAGCUCAAUAUGCCUUCUGAAAUGCAAGUCUCACUUACAGAUGAAAAAAGAGAUAUUGAACCUCUUAAGUGGUUGCCCUCUUCCUUCCAUCUUCUAAAGGAUUUAUAUUUUCCCGUUUGCAAUCUAUCUUGAUUUUGGCCUAAUUCCUACAAAUGAUUGGAGAGCCGAUAGCUAUUACUGAUGCUUAAUUGUCAAAGUCAAGUUCCUAUAGCAGUUUUUGUCUUCUUGAUCUUGUAAUUAAGUACUUGAUCUUGUUGUGCUAUAUAAGUUAUAUUUCAUUGUUCAACAGAAUUGAGGACUUUUAUGAUAUGCAUCUAAAUUAUAGGCAUCUUGUUACCAUUUGUUCUCCCAUUCACACUAAUUGGUUAUCUUGGAAGUGCAUAAUCUUGUUAAAGCUUAUAAUAGAAACUAGAUCUUUUAGAAUUUGUUAUUUAUACAUGUCAAUAUAUAUAUAUAUAUAUAUAUAUAUAUAUAUAUAUAUAUAUAUAUAUAAAUUUCUGGAUUCUAUGCUUGUAAUCAUUCUAUAUUUUUGAUGAAGUUCCUUAAUUCUUGCUAAAAUAUAGAAUAAUUAGUUGAAAAUGAUGAAAAAUCUUACCAUUAUAUCUCUCUGCUGUCCUUCAAAGAUCAUUUGAUGUUUUAGAGAUCUUCUUUUUAAUUCUUCAUCAGGUACAUAGUUUUUAGAAAAGCUUCGCUCUUUCUCAAGUGUGACAUUUCUGUCUUCGAUCUUCAUUCGAAACAAAAACAAAAAAGAAAGGUCAGAGAAUUUCAAUGGCUUUAUGUGCUUUGGGUGCUACACAUUCAUAUCAAUUGCAUGCACUUUAUUUCUUUUUUCCCUUAAAUCCAUUUUAGAGACAUCUUAUCCCAGUUUGAUACAUUCUUUGGAUCAAGUGGCAUUAAGGGAACCCUUAUUCAAUUAAUAAAUGUUUUAAACUUGAUGAUUUUUACCAAUUUAUUUAAUUAUAUAUCUGAGUAUGACAAAAAUACUUGAAAAUCAGUAGUUAAGGAGUUGGCAUCAUGGACACACUUUGAUAUAUUUGCUGCAUGACUUCACAUGAUUCACUGCUAAAAUCGCGUGUGAAUGGUGUAGGUGAUGGUUGUGACAACUCAUGAAGGAGUUCCGCAGGAAUUUUAUGGAGCGAAAUUGAUUGGAUCAUGCAGGUUGUAAUCAAUUUGUGAGAAAGUUUCUGUUGUUAUGAUCUUCUGAUUCUAACUCCAUAUUGCUUUAGAUUUCUAAAGAUAAACUUGCAUAAGGUAUUUUGAGACUCAUAUCUUAACAAAUCUUGUACGUUAUUCUAAGAGCCCUGCAUUAACUUUAUUGAUUUUUGCAUAUCAUUAAUAAACUGUGGUAGCUGCAAAGUGAUUCACUCUUCAGUAGAAAUCUUAAUCUUACUUAUCAAUAAAAUUUACUAAUUUUCCUAUAAAGAGUUUAAAGUGUUAGGCUUGUUCAUGCUCCAUCCAAAGAUUGGGAUUAUUAAAGCUUAUGGAUUAUGGAGCCUCGUAGUGGUCAAUAUCUAGAUGUUUCUCGCUAAUGGUUCUCAAUUCUGUUUUGUAGCUUCCCCUGUCCAUGGUACCAAAAGGUACCACUUUCCCUAGCACUCAGCCCUAGGAUAAUAUCAGUGGUUUCUUAAUUUAAGCUUGAUAAAUACAUGCAUCAUCCCCUGGUAUUAUGGUAAAUUUAUGUCCUCUUUUAUGUGUUUUGCUUGAUUGAGCAUUGGGAGUGUUUUCUUGUUUUGUUGCAUCAUUGAGAAUUUCUGGCUUUACAAUAGGUAAUCGGUGCUCUCAUUAUUGUAAAACUAUUGUGUGUUCCUAUAGUAAUGUCCUAUCAUACACAUGUCCCAGUGUAAGUAUUGCUGCUAGUUGAUUUUCUUGUUAAGGUCUUGAUUGCAAAACAUUUAACUAGCUUCUUAAUAUAGCAUGAUUAAAAAUCAACACAUUUAUAUAAAUCAUUGCAAUAUAUGUACUAUACGGUCUUCGGGAUGUCAUUCCUAAGAUAUGUCCAAUUAGUAUUUUGGGUCGAGUCUAAUUCCUGUUUUCAUCUUUAGCUACAUACCAAGAUACACCUUUAGUUGGCUAGUCAAACCUAUGUGGUGGGUCAUAAGUACGUGAGCUUUCCUUUCUUGUUCAAAUCCAACAUGGCUCAAAAUGUAUAUUACAUUCUCUAACAUAUAAGGGUUUUUCAUAUUUCAUCAAAAUUUCUACACAGAGCAGCUGAUCUUACAUUGGUGCCAUCAGCUGUCAUUGCAAAGGAUCUUCAGGCAGCAAGGGUGACAGCAGGUGAAAUAUCUUGUUCCUAUUUUUUUAUAAGCAAAUUACUCUAGACAACUGACACAAUUUACUAGAUAAGUAGAUAUCAACAUUCAACUUUCAUACUUUUGCCUCAUAUUCAUUUUUCUUCAUGUUAUAAUUCUCAUAGACAUUAAGCUUACUCAACAUUUUACUUCCACUAGACCUGUCAUGAAAAUGUUGAUUAAAGAACUCACAUUCGUGUUAUACAGCAACAUCACAAAUGAAUUGUUAUUAUUCCUUUGCAUAUUUUCAGGUAACAAAAUACAACUCUGGAAUAAGGGUGUUGAUUCUGAAAGCUUUAAUCCCCGUUAUCAUUCUCAUGAAAUGCGAUUAAGAUUAAGGUAAGAUCUCCUGCUUCUUCAGUUUCAUCACCAUAUUUUUGACUCUUCUUUAAAUUUUAAAGUCUUUAUUCCCAAAUCAGCAAUGGUGAACCUGAGAGGCCGUUGAUUGUUCAUGUUGGGCGGCUAGGAGUUGAGAAGAGUUUGGAUUUUCUCAAAAGGUAUUACUUUUAUAAUGGAGAAAUUACCUGUGUGCAUAUAUUGGAAAAUAUUGCAACUAUUCCUUGUGUUGUUUUUCUUUCUUCAAGUGAUAAAGUUUGUUUAACGUACGCCCACUUCUUUCUUUUCUGGCUAGUAGAAAAAAUUGUCUUGGACUGAAUGAGGGGAUUAGUUGAAUAAUCUCGUUGUUACUAGAACCUUACCUCUUAUAACUAUUUUUUUGGCUAAGAAUCUUAUAGUAUCUCAUCAAACUAAAGUUAAAAGUUGUUUUUAUGCAUGAACAAUAUGUUGUGAGAAGAAGAUCCUUUAGCAUUAUGUACUCUUUCGAGCAUAAUGAGAAGCAGUAUGUUUUGAAUGACAAAAGGUAACCAACAUACCAGUUCUAUACUUGUAAUCAUUCUAUAUUUUUGAUGAAGUUCCUUAAUGAAGGGUUUCGACACAAAAACGCAGAGCGAAAAAUAAAAAUUUAUAAAGCAAUUUCGAAACCCUAAACAGGAUCCAUGCGAAAAAAAUCAAUUAAUUCAGAGGUUAGAAAUUAUACUGACUAUAAAACUAGAAUCAAUGCGGUCGAAUCUCCAAUGUAAUUCAAACGAACUGCAUCUCUACGGUAUCCACAUGAACUCUCCACUAAUCGUCGUACGAUCUGCAGAAGAAGGAACCGCGGUACUAGCCACCAAGGAUGAGGAUUUUUAGAAACUGAUUUCUCUAGUCUCUCUCUAAGAGCGGCUAGGGUUUUGUUUUUGAUAUAAUACCUAAAAUGACUGAUAUAUAUCAUAUAUAUAGCAGUUACAAGGAAUUAAUCAAAACCUAAUAUAAUUAUAUAAAAUCCAAAUUUUUAUAUAUAUAUAUAUAUAUAUAUAUAUAUAUAUAUCUUAAUUAAGUCUUACUUAAUUAAUAUACAUAUAUACAAAUUAUCCUUUUUAAUUUAAAUUUGUGAUUUAAAAUACUAUCAAUCAUAUUGAUAUAUUUAAAACCUUACAAUUUAAAUUAAUUCUCUUUUAAAUUACGUUCUAUGUGUGUGACCCUAUAGGUUAUUAUUACGUUGGCAAUAAUUUUAAAAUCAUAUUAUAAAAUUAUAAACAGUGAGCGGCAUCUAGUAAUGCAUCACUGCUACCCAAGUAAUAAUAAGAUCGAUGAUUCGAUGCAACCUUUUAGUGACCAAUGUUUCAAUGUAAUUUAAUCAUUUUAACCUUAAUAUCCUAGAUUAAACUCGAGUCAUGGAAUGUGUCAUACUCUUCAUAAUUUAAUCUGAGUUUUUCUUGAUCAAUGAGUAGACUAUAUGAAACAAAUCACUAUUUGAGCAUGGUCAUGCAUUUCAUAGUCCUACCCAAUCAAGAGGCCUAUGGAUAUCACCCCUAAUAUAUAUGAAGGUUAAAUUCCAUCUAGAUCACUCAUAUUCCUCACACGAUUUAUGAUGUACCCAAUAAUCAUCUUUAUAGUUCACCCUAUUAAAGGUGACAUUUGAUGAUAUCAAAGUACAUAAAUUCCCGUGUAGUAAUAUAGUGAUUUCAGGUCGAAGGACCAUUACAUCAUUGUCACUAUGAGAAUCGCUAAUGACACUAUGCAUAAUGUUCCACGUAGAAUUCUCCUGGUGGGUCUGUCCAGUACAUCGUUCUCUAACAUGUACCUAUGCAUUGACUUAAUAUCUCAUAUAUUUAUGACCAUUGAGAUUUGGUCAUCAGUCAAUCCACAUACUAGUCUCAAUGUAUCAUUCUUGUCCCAUCAACAAUGAUACUCGACUAGGGACAUUUAAAAACAAUGAUACUAAUUGUAAUUAUAUAAUCUCAUGUUUAAGUCACAUACUUGAAACUAUAUAAUUUGUAUCACUAUUCUAAGGAGUUUUAUUAUGUUAACAUUUAUAUAAUGCAGUAAAUAAAAUCAUAAUAAAAUCAUUCAUUUAUUCAAUCAAAUAUAAUAUCAAAAUGUUAAGCAAUUAUAUCAAAUAAUUGGCCUCUAGGGCAUAAACUAUAACACUUAAUUCUUGCUAAAAGCUAUAAUGUGCCAGCGGGAACUCAUCUAAUCGAAGUGGCUGCGAUUGGUUAUUUCUUUUCUCCAGUGAGACUAUUUAUACUUGCAUAUUUUCUGUUGAUACAAUUUAUAGUUGACUAUAAAUCAACCUUUUCAAAUUUUUGCACCACUUUCUUAUGUGCGGGUAAAUAUAACAAGAUAAUUGUUAUUCCUAUCGAGAUUUUACAUCUCCUGAUGAAAUUUCAUUUGCAUUAACUGCAUACCAGCUCUUGUAGUAGAAAAUAUCGUCAUCACAAUUAUCUUGUUAUAACCUUUUUUGUCCUUGAAAAUAAUUUGAUAGUUGAAUUAGAAAAUGCACAAGUUACUUUGGAUGCUAGUCAAACUGGAAAAUGAGGGAUUCGUUACAUGACUCUAAAUCAAGUUCAAGCAGAUACAUGUUUGUAUUUAAUGACAAUUCAUUAAAUUGCUAACUUUUCUAUUUUGUCCAGUAUAAUGUUCUUAAUCUCUCCUGUUUUUCUUUGUAAGCGCAAGCAGAAUGCAAGGAAUAUUUUAUGGAUAGUUUAAUUAGGUAGUAGUUUAAUUUUAUGGAUAGUUUGGUAUAUUUUAUGGAUGUAGUCAAAUUCAUAAUUCAAUAUAGUAGUAAUUAUAUUGAAAAGUGAAUUUGAGAUGUAUGGAUAGUUUGGUAUUAUUGGGAUGUAAACGUAUUGUAUGGUAUUAAUAUUCUUUGUAAUUGGUAUAUUUUUAAUUUGAGAUGUAUGGAUAGUAAUAUUAUUUGUAAUUGGUAUAUUUUGAAUGUUUGAUACAUUUUGGCUUUAAAUAGAUGACACCUUCUAAACGUUGUAUAAAUGUGUUUAAACGUUGUCUGUUGUUGCUUGCUAAGGUAGAGAUCCAAAAACAGUUGUUAUAUGCAUGUAUUAUAACAUUUUUAAGUCAAACUACAACGUUUUAAAAACGUCGUAUAAAGGGUGUCAAAUAGAUGACACCUUCUAAACGUUGUAUAAAUGUGUCUAAACGUUGUCUGAUGUAUCAAAUUAAUUACAACAUUUUAAGCCAGAAAACGUUGUGGAAUCAUACCAUCUACAACGUUUUCAAGCAUCCAAUGAUUUAUGGAAAAUAAAUAUACAACGUUUUAAAGAAAAAAAUGUUGUAAAUGUGACAAACCACAACGUUUUAAAAACGUUGUAUAAAGUGUGUCAAAUAGAUGACACCCUUAACCACGACGUUUAUGGGAUACAAACCACAACAUUUUGUACGCGUUAUCUAUUUAUUGUUUUGUAGUAGUGCACCCAUGUGUUGAACCUUGCAUGCACCUGUUCAACAUACUUCUCUUGUGACAGCCACAACCUCUUAACUUUCUUGUCACAAACAAUUUUCAUACCCAAAAUCUGCUUAGCCGAGCCUAAGUCCUUCAUAUCAGAGGACUUAAACAAAUCACACUUAUGCGAAUCAUGUUAGCAUCUUACCCAACUAUCAACAUAUAAUCUACAUAUAGCAACAAAAUAACGAAGUUACAAUCCGGGAACUUUUUAACAUACACACAAUGAUCUACAAGUUUUCUACUCUAACAUUAGUCAAUCAUGAAUAAAUCAAAUUCCAUGUACCACACUACCUUAGGGCUCUUGUUUUAGGCCGUACAAACUUUUCUUCAACCUGCAAACCAAGUGAUCUUUCCCUUUAGCUUCAAAUCCUUCUGGUUACUCCAUAUAGAUUUCCUCCCUUUAAAUCACCAUGAAGGAAUGUAGUUUUCACAUCUAGCUGCUCAAGCUCAAUAUUCGUACUAGCUACUAACCCCAACACCGCUCGAAUAGAAGUCAUAUUUACAACCAGAGAAAAAAUCUCAUUAAAGUCAAUACCUUGCUUCGGAGAAAAACCCUUGACGACCAAUCGAGCCUUGUACUUCACUAGUAUUUCAGCAUCCCUUUUCAACUUGAACACCCAUUUAUUCUUCAAUGCUUUCUUGCCUUUCGGAAAUGUAGUCAACUCAUAAAUGUGAUUCUUAUGUAAAGAAUACAUCUCAUCCCGCAUACGUCUCAACCAAUUGCUCUUGUCCUUAUGAGUUUUGACUUCUUGAAAAUUCUCUGGCUCCCACUCCUCAACAACUAAAAGAUAUUCAAAUGAAGGAUAUCUGACUGAUUGCACACGUUCUCUCAUGGAUCUUCUUAACUGAGGUUUUUCAAUAUCAAGAUGAGGUAGCUGAUCCCCCUGCUCAACACUCUCUGCAUCUGACCCAUCACCAUCGUGCAAAUCUAUAUCCGUCACAUCUUCAUUUUGACCUCCUUUUCCAACUGUGGCAUUCUGUAAUGGAAAACGAACUCCGCUGAGUUCUAGAACUCUAUUAUCUAUGGGCUAUGUAACAUUAUCAAAAUCUUUAUAAUUCAGGUGGUCAUGAAACACUACAUGUCUACUUCUGAAUUUUUUUUUUAAACUGUAUCCCAUAACAUGUACCCAAACUCUAUAUAUAUUUCCAAGCCAAUAAACACACAUGGAGUAAAUUUGUCAUCCAGCUUUGAUCUUUGUUUCUUAGGGAUAUGUGUAAAAGCCUUGCACCUAAAUACCCUAAAAUAAGAAUAACACACAUCCUUACCACUCCAUAUCUUUCUAAAAUAUGAAAAUCCAACGGUGCUGAUGGAGAUCUGUUAAUCAGGUAACAAGCGGUACGAACAACUUCACUCCAGAAUGACUUAGGCAGCUCAGCCAUUCUCAACAAGCAUCGGACUCGCUGAAUAACAGUGUUGUUCAUUCUUUCAGCCACACCAUUAUGUUUUGAGGUGCUAGGAAUUGUCUGAUCAUGUCGAAUACCGUGUUUAUCUCAAUAUGCCACAAAAUCCUUUGAUGUGUAUUCCCAUCCGUUGUCGCUGCGAAGGCACUUCAAUAAUUUUUCAGUCUCCCUUUCAACAAUAUCAUGGAAACUCUGAAAAUGUUGGAAUACCUGCUCUUUUAUUUUCAACAAAGACACCCACACCUUCAUGAAACAUCAUCAAUAAAAGUAAAAAAAUAUCUAUUGGCACCCAAUGACUCAACCUCAAUGGGACCAUAUACAUCAGAAUAUACUCUCUCAAGUAACUUAGAUUUCUUUUAGAGGAGCUACUAAAAGAAACUCUAUUUUGCUUACCAAACAAAUAAUAAACACAAGGGUUUAGUACAAUACCUUUAGCAAAAUGAAUGAAAGAUAUUAUGUCUAAUAUUUGCAACCCUUUCUCACUUAUGUGCCCAAACCUUUAUAAUUUUAUGACACAGAUUCGAUGAAAAUUCAUCUUCAAUUGCAUUCAACUUGCUAGAACACACAUUCACAUUAGUUUUGUAUAAUGAACAAUAAGUAGUACCUUUAGCAACUACCAUCGAACCUAUCACGCCCCGAAAUCCACCAGCUUGCUUGGUCGGACUUCGUGCUGACUUGAACAAUCUUAUUCAUAAAUAUUUUAUAAUAUAUAAUUUUUAUCUCUCCAAGGUUCACAGUAUCCCAUAACAGAUAGUAGUUCUUGUUAGAAUAAUUUUUGUGUUUACAUACCCUCAUUUGGAUGAAUAGAUUUAUAUCUCAUGGAUAUUUCUUUCAUAUUCAUAGUUUCUAUCUAUUUGAUAUUCACAAUAUUAAUGAUAAGAUUGUUCUUGGAACCGAGGGGCGACCACAGUGCUUACAGAACUCUCAAAAUCAUUUAAUACCCUCAUUCAGAUGUAUAGUUCAUAUGGAUACUGUACUAAAUCAGUACUAAUUCUUAAUUAUCUAAAAAUGUGAGUACAACGCAAUUGAUGUUACAAAAGAUAGUAAUAUAUUUCACAACUUUAAGUACAGUUACAUAGAUUCCAAGAUCGUAUUGUUAUUACAUCAGAGUCUAAAAAGACUUAAACGAAUACAGGCAAAAGUAUUUAAAGCUAAUCUAACGGGGUCUCUAUCCAUUGAGUUAUGUAUUAGAACAUCCAUGAUUCUCAUCCAACGUUGCAAAGGAAAAUAAUAUUUGCAAGGAUGAGCUACAAAAGGCUCAACAAAUUUUAAACAAGAUAUACUCACACUGUGUUUGAAUUGAAUGAACAUUUAGUUCAAAGAUUUUACAUGUAUAUACUGAAGUUUGUCUGUCAAACCCCCACAUUAUUUCGGUUUCUAUCAAUCAUAAAGACAUAGAAACCAAAGGUUGAUCUGUUCAACCGGACUUGGUAAUCAUUCCCAAAGUUCGUAUAUAUAGACGUAAGAGUCAUUAGUUCAAAUAUUUAAUAGGGGAUCAACCUAUUUAUAUCAUAGGAGUAUGCAUAUCAUCCUACCACAAGUGUCCCAGACACACAAAGGUCAGUUUAGUACUGCCCAUAAACCACGGUCAGUAUAUAUCUGCCUGGUAAUCACUCUUUUACAAAGAGGCAAAUAGUUCAAUAUAUAUAUAUCUCGUACCAAACAUUAUUGGUUUCUACUCAGUUUAUGCUUUGAUAUCAAACCAAAGUUUCACACAAAUAAUAGUUCAUUUUCUUAAGUUAUGCUUAAACAAAAAGCAAUAACUUCCCAACAAUAGAUAUCAUGAACAAAAUAUUUAAACAAGUUCAUAUAAUAGAUGUAUAAAGAAUAGAAGACUUGCUCAAUUACAAAAACACUAUCAAUUUUCACAAAUAAAGAAUUAUAAUAAUUCAAUAUUUCAAUAAUAAACACUCUAACUGGAAUAGCUCACAAAUCGAGUUAAGCAGAAUCAAAUGACAAUUAACUCAUUUUCACAAUUCAAUGAACUUCAUAUAACAAAAGAAAUUCCAAAAUUUAUAAACGUGUUGCACAUAGUGCGAAAAACUUGCAUAACAGAAUAUCAUGUAAGUUUAGAAAACUUGCAUAGAAAUAGCUAUAAAGUUUGCACAUAUUGUGGAAAACUUGUAUAACAGAAUAUCAUGUAAGUUUAGAAAACUUGCAUAAAAAUAGAAAGUUUGCACAUAAUGCGGGAAAACUUGCAUAAUAGAAUAUCAUGUAAGUUCAGAAAACUUGCAUAACAAUAGAAAGUUUGUACAUAGUACAGAAAACUUUCAUAACAAUAGAAAGUUUGCACAGUGCGAAAAACUUGCCUGAUUCGCCUCUACAGUUUACGCUAAGUUUAUGUGUCUCGAUCAAUCUAUACAAUUAUAUGUUCAUGUAGAAUAAUUAAGCAUUUAGAGAUUAAACCUUUUAAGUUUUAUUUUGGGUAUUAUAACCGAUUAUAAUUAAGACUCCUUGUACUAUACAUGGAAUAAUUUUAGCAUUAUAAUUGCUUAUAGAAUGAAUAUUCAUCAACUAUAUUUAAAAUAAAUUGAGCAUUAUAAUUGCUUGUAAAAUGAAUAUUCGGAUAUUAUAUUUGAGAUAAUUUAAGCAUUAUAACUUCUUAUAAAAUGAAUAUUCUUAUUAAAUAAUUGAAGAAAAUCGGACAUAAUAACUCCUUAUAAAAAUAUAUUUUCUACUUUAUAAGAGAAAUAAAUUGGAUAUUAUAACUGCUUGUAAAUAAAACUUUUGUACUAUAUAAGUAAAAUAAUUUGGGCAUUGUAACUGCUUGUAAAAGUAUUUUUUUAUUAAAUAUAUAAAGAAGAAUGAAAAUAAUAGCCACUAAAGUAAUACAUCUUGUAGUUGCUAGUUUUACUUCCAAUCGCGUAGCGCUUCGAUGUUUCGAAAGUAAUUUUUAUUUCUCACAAUAUAUAUCUCUAAGAAUAUAAAUAUAGUGUUUUUUGCUCUUGAAAAUGGUAGAAAAAAUGAAAAACUUAGCUUGCUAUUUAUAGAAAAACAUAGUUUCACUAAUUGCAUGUUAGGGGCUCGACUUAUUACAGUUUACACCCAGCUUACUACACUUUGGUACCUAGGUUAAUUACACUUUAGUACCUAAUUAAUUGCACAUUAGUCCCUCAAAAUAUCUAAAAGUCAUCAUUACUUCUUUAAAAUAUCUUCCACCAAACGAAAUCUUCAUGACAUCAUCAUGAUGACAUCAUCUAUGUGUUUCUUUGAGGAUAAUUUCAUGCUUGACUCAUCUCUUCUCUGAUUGGUCGAUUCAAGUUCAUAUGGAUUCACUACAGAAAAAAUCUCUAUCUGCGACCAAACCUUUCAGCGACCGCCCUUUCUGGUCGCUGAUAUCAGUAAUAGCGACUGCCAUCUGCGACCGGUAUUGCUUCUAGUCGCUAGUUUAUAUCAGCGACCGCAUGCGGUCGCUGGCAUGAAAUUCCUUCCCAAUAAUUGGUGCGAAACAUUGGCGCGUUUUUUUUGUGCGACCAAUCUCUAUCAGCGGUAGGCGGUCACUGAUACGGCCACAUCAUUAAAAAUUAACGACCGCAUGCAGUCGCUGAUCUUCUUAAAUUUAAUCAGACUUAGGCAUUCGCUCGUUCAGCAGAUGAAAAGAAAAAGAGGGAGAACAGAAGAGGGAGAAGAGGGAGAAGAGGGAGAAGGGGGAGAAGAGAAGAGGGAGGGAGAAAUUGAUCACCAUCGCCGCCGCCCGUCUCGACAACUCAGGUAUUAUCAAAACCUAUGUGAUUUUCAUGUUGUGGUUUUUGUGCAAUUAAAAGUUAAGUAGUAUUGUAUUUAUAUUUGUAUAAUUAAAAGUUUAUGUUGGAGUUAAAUAAUAGAACUCAGUGUUGAUACAUUUUAACCAAGCAGGAGCUGUCAUUCCUAGGGAGAGCUAAAAACUCUGUUCCGUUCACUCCAUUUAUUUUCGUCUGAACUUGCCAAGCAUAAGUGUUCUUCAGCCCAUUGAGCCAUUAUUAUAAGGUAAGUUCUAAUUUUGAUUUUAGUAUCAACAAUUGAAAGAUUUAUAUUAAAUUGUUAUGAUUGAGCUGUGAUAAGUGAGUUGUGAAUUAGAAGGAGCUUAGUUGUUGUUGUGCGAAGUAAAAAGGAAGGUGAAUAUGGUUUAAAGCAUGUAUAAAUGUUAGUGAAACAUGUCCAUAUGAAUAAUGCCCAUAUCAUGUUUGAUAAAUUGCUCCUUAGAGAGUUUUAAGCUCAAAAAGAGCAAUUUAGGUGAGGUAAUGAACAAGAACUCUUUAUAUAGCUUGUUUUAUAAAGUAAUUCAAGUGAAUUGGGUAAGAUUAAUUGAGUCUAAAAACUAUUUUUAAGCAAAUUGGGUAAUGAACAAGAACUCUUUAUACUUGUUUUAUGAAGUAAUUCAAGUGAAUUGGGUAAGAUUAAUUGAGUCUAAAAAUUGUUUUGAAGUAAAUUGGGUAAGAUUAAUUGAGCCUAAAAACUGCUUUAAAGCAAAUUGGGUAAUAUUAAUUGAGUCCAAAAACUGUUUCGAAACAAAUUGAACUCUUUAAGUGUACAUUAUAUGUGGCGAUUCUGCCAUAAUAGAAUUCAUGGGCAAUCAUGGUUUACCUUAUAUGCUACCCAUACUUCAAUCUUUGUUUGAAAUUGCUUACAACAUAUUGUUAGACUGCAUGUAUUCUACUUAGUAGGCCAAAUAAGUUUAAGUGUCCACACAUUUUUGGUAUGGAGUGGUGUAACCUUCUUCUAGUUACACUUAGACAAAGAAUAGAAAGAAUGAAAAAAAUUAAGGAGACAUUUAAGAUGGAAUGUGUGAGAGAGAAAUAUAGACAAUUGUGUGGGUAAGAGAGUAUUAGGAAAUAGUUUCAAGUCCUUGGACUAUUUUUUGUCAUUUCUAAGGCUAUUUAUGAGGGAUUAUAUAAUCUCAUUAGUCCUCCAUAAUUUAAGCUAUCAAAUGACUUUAUAGGACUAAUAGUCCCACAUUAAGGGACUAUUAGUAUGCCUUCUUCUGCAAUCUUGAUAUACGCAGCGUUAUAGUUUCUAGAACGCAUUGCAAAGUUUAUUGGCUGUUCUUCAAACUUUACCAUCAAGAUAUUUUCAUCACCUAAUGUCCUAUGUAGAAGAGUUUUUGUUGUGUUUAGAUAUGGACCCUGGAAUAUAUAAAGGCAAUAAGUAUAACAAUUGGUGACAUUGAGGUUUUAAAAGAGAGUAAAAAAAUUUGAUGGUAAUGUUAUAUGCCAGUAGCAACAAGAAUUUAAAACUAAGAAUUUGAUAUCCAGGAUAUUAUAGCAUUAACAAAGUACACAUGAACAUGUUUCAGUAUAUGUUGCAGGUUUUAAAAAUUCAAAAAAUGAUAAAUACUCUCAUAAGUAGAAAACCAAGAACAUAUACAAUAAUCUACUAUGAAAGUACAACUAGAGGCAAUAUGAGCCAUAAGUAUGACUUAGCUUAGAAUAGAAAGAAAAUGAAAAGUACAAAAAGAAUAAUAUAUAUAUAUAUAAUCUAGUUGGCCACUUAUAUAAGUAAAAUUAUAAAAUUUCCCUACAUACCUAUCAAACAAACUCUAAAUUAUAAAAUUUUUAUAUAGCUAUGUCAAAACCCACAAACACAAACACAAGCACCAUAAUUUCAAUCACACAAAAUUAAUGUUCAUAUAAAUAAUGAUAUGUUUCCAAAAUGUCCAGCAUUAUCUAAAUCUUCAUAUAUAAGUCAAAUGACCAUAUAUGCAUUCGUAUUCACUGUUGUGUUAUACUUCCUUGGUGUUUAAUAUAUGUGAUGUUAUGUUAAUUGAUUAUACAUUCUUGUUGCUCUUAUAUGCCUACAAAUGGCCAUAUAUGCAUGCCCUCGUGCAUGUGGAUAAUCCAUAUUAUAGGGGAGACUUUAUUGAAAUUUUUUUGUUGGUCGGGUAACUGAACAAAGGUGUAUAUUUAUAUUAUACCUACAUAUAUGCAAAAAAAUAAUAAUUUAGACUUGUCCUAAUGCAUAUGCAGACCAUGUAUUAUGCAAUGAUUCAUAUUCUACCCCUAGGAAUCUAUUGUUUUUAGGUUGGUGUCAGUUAAAAUAUGUAGGAUGACAUAAGACCAUACCUCAUUCUCAUUUAAGAUCCACAACAAUAUACAAUGCCUUUGGGUAUUCGAUCUCAAGCUGUGUAAAUUUGUUUUGGCAUGUAUCCUUGUUUAAUUCCUGAAUAAUCAUAUAUAUGAUGCACACUCAUGUUAUAUAUGUACAUAUACAUCUAUAUGUAUUUAUAAGCAUCAUAAAUGGCAUUGAGCUGAAUUGUAAAUCUCUAACAAGGGAAUACAAUAAUUUAUGUCAACAUAGGUACCAUGGUAUCAUGGACCUCUAUUCAGACCGUAGUUGAAUGAGACGACAAAAGUCAAGUGCACAGAUAAGUGCUACAUCAGAAUUUAGAGCUGGUUGCCAAGUAUUUGUAGAUUAUGCGUAUAAUCACCCGGAAUGUGUUAAUGGUCAAAACAAGAUAAGAUGUCCUUGUUUUUGGGUUCAUGAACAAUUACGAAGAAUGUUGGUGGGCACAUGGCAGAGAAGAGAUAGUAGCAUUGCACAAGUACACAAUCUAGGCAGCAAUACCCAUCGUAUGAAUGACACGGUUCAUGAUAUUGCAUGGAUGGAUUUUGAUUGGGAACAAGGCAGAGAGCAACCUAUGAAUUUUGAUGCCAAAGCAUUCUUUAAGUUGUUAGGCGAGGGUAGUGAACCGUUGUGGCAUGGUUGCACGAAGCACACUACAUUUUCUGUAGUGGCGAUAUUACUUAACAUCAAGGCUGAUCACAACAUAAGCCAUGAGUGUUUUGAGUCACUCUUGAGGGCCAUUAAGAGUAUGUUGCCUGUCGGUGAAAAAUUAUCCGAUAACUACUACUAUUAUAAAAAAAUGGUGAAGAAGUUGGGUCUUGGAUAUCAAAAGAUCGACGCAUGUCCGAACGAUUGCAUGUUGUUUUAUAAGGAAAAUGAACAGAAGACAACGAUUUUACUUAUACAAUUACUUGUCAUUAUUGUCAUUUUACUUAUACAAAAUGAUUCUGACUUAGACAACGAUUUUCAUUAAAAUGUAUGUUUAGUUUUAAUUGUAUUACAUACAAUUACAUAUAUAUGUUCUCUAUAUCCUUGACAUGUUUAUGUACCUUUCAUUUAUAGUUUCCGUAGUUAACUAUUUCUUACAAUUACUUAUCAUUAUUGUCAUUUUAAUUAUAUAUUUAAAUCAUAUAACUCAUACUAACAUCCUAAAUUUUUUAUUUAUAGAUGUCUUCUGAACCAGCACAACGAAAGCGCGGGUUGGGUCGGGGGCCUAAUCAUGAGCCGAAGGCCCCGGCUAAUCCGAAUGAUCGCAUUCUUAUACAGAUUUGUCCUCCUCUAGAAAGCACGUAAGUUAAACAUCGUGUAUAUAUAACCAUUUUAUAUUUCCAUUGUUAUAGAUAUAUACUAAUAUAAAUUAUUUUUUAUAUUAUAAUAAAAUUACUUAUCUUUAAUGUAAAUUAUUGUAUAUUGUAGUGAUUUUCAAGAUAGUAAAAUUGUGAAGUGAAUUUCACAAUUAUGCUUACAGAACUGGCCUACGCCAGUGAUUACGUGGGCGAGCACACCUCUCACCCAUAAGGAUGCAGUUUGGGCUGAAUUUCAGGUAUAUUUUUUUAUCACUCUGAUAGAUAAUAUAUAGUUAAUCAAAUAAUAUUGUUUAAUAAUGUUGGAUUACGGUAAUAUCACAGUUUUAAUAUUAUUAUUGUUGUUUUAUUUGUAGAAAAGGUAUAGAUGGGAUGACGCGCAAGCAUCAGUUAUUCAAACAUUAUUUUGGUAGAAGUGCGCCAUCCGAACUAAAGAUAAUCUGAACAAGGAACAACAUAAAGCCCUGCAUAAUGCCGAGAUUGACUAUCUAGGACAGGGUGAGCAGUAUAUGCAUGAGUAUUGCCCCUGGUGGUGUGCACAGCCUAUAUGGUGCAGAUGUGUGACCAGUGGAGAGCUGAGAGAUGGGUUAAGAGACGCAAGACUGCCGCCUCAAACAGAUCCUCAGGUGUAUCUGAAGGCGAAAAGGCAAAAGGCAUGUAUCGGGGCGACAAUAUAUCACAGCUGUAGCAUAUUGUUGUAAGGGUACGUAUGUAUAGCAAUCUUAUUGACUUAGUUAUUUGUUUUUGUGUUUAUAGUCAUGUUUUGUAGCUAAAAUAUCAUAUGUUUACAUAUUAAUAUGAGAACAUGAACUGUAGGAGUCUCAGUCUCAAGGUCAACCUAUCAAUUGGUUGGAUGUGUAUGUGGCCACCCUCGAUGGUCUGCCUGAGGCUGUUAAGAUAGCAGUAAUAAGUUAACUUUAUACUACUAUGUUAUUUAUAAAUUGUGACGACCUUUUUUAGCAUUUAUUUUUUUAUUUUUAACUAUUUAAUUGUUAACCUUAUGACAGGACACUUAUAAGAGCUUAAUGAACGAGCGCUAUCCUGAAGUCACCCCGCGUCUGCCGAUUGAUUAAGAAUUGUGGGAGAGGGCGUCAGUCGUGAAGAAAAACUACGUUAAAGGCCAAGGAUAAAAAUAACGCCCGACCAUCAGUGGCACAUGCAACUAUGCUACCCAGUCUACACAGUCAUCAGGUCAUCCAGCUUAUCAUACUCCUGCUAACUGUGUGAGAGCGAUCUGUCGAGAUCGUGAUCUUCUUUAUAUACUAGGCGGGCAUAUGCAGUCUCUGAGUCCUAAUGACUUAGCGGAUGCAGUGGCGGCAGCAGCACGACAUCAAGAUGGCGAUGAGGUAUACAUAGAUAUUGUUACUGUAACUGUCUUACUUAUGUUUCACUAUAUUAUCUAUUGUUUAGCUUUCCCUAAGUCAUAGUAGUAUCAACACAUGUAACAUGUUUUAUUCUUUUGUAAAUUACAGGGUCCUACUAAUUUGGAUGAUGCAUGAAGAGCUAGACUUAUUUUUUAGAUAUUUAAAGCCUUGUAAUUUUAUAUUAAUUCUUUGGACCAUUGUAUUUGUUGAAUAUUGUGUUGGUUUACGAUUCAUGUUUGUAUAUACUAUUGUGGAUGUGUUGGGAUAUAUAUAAAUUAUGGAUGGAUAUUUAUAUGGAUGCUUAUAUAUACUGAUGUGUGUUGGGAUAGAAAGCAGGUACAAAGCAGUGUAUUUUUUUGGGAAAUCCAUAAAACAAGAAAAAAAAUAAAAAAAAUAGCAACAUCAGCGACCGCAUGCAGUCGCUAAUAUAGAGAGCGGUCGCUAAUGGCCUUUGGGAACUUAGCGACUGAUGUGGUUGCUAUUGCUGGUCGCUGACACGUGUGUCAUGUCAUUCCUGACAACUGACUCAGCAUGACUCAGAUUAGCGACAUAUUCGGUCGCUAAUAAUGGUCGCUGAUGUCCAACCAGCGACCAGAUUAUCUACGACGAAUAUCAGCGACCGUAGUCUGUCGCUAAUGCUCAUCUGUGAUCGUAUGCGGUCGCAGAUAUGCGGUCGUUGAUAAGCCUUUUUGUUGUAGUGAUUGGUAUUAUUUAGAUAGAUUAACUAGGUUUUCUUUUCCUAGUUUGGUUAUACUAACUUAGUUACACAUAACAUAGUUUGAUUCCAACUAAUUAGUUAACUUCUUAGUUUCUUUUCGUCUUUUUCCUAUUUCAUCUUAUUCCCGUGAUUAGUGUUUUUACGCAAAUUUUCUGAGAAUAUUUUAUUUUCGUCUUCGAAAUUCUUUCUCGUUUAUUCUUACGUAACCAAAAUCCCAACGUUUAAUAAUCAUCCUAGGUCAUAAUUAGAAUUUUAAUCACUUAUGAUUCAUUACACUUAGUUUAGAUUAUAAUCUUAAUCUCUAAUCAUAUAAGAUCGUAUUUAUAAGCCACGUAAAUAUCCGAAAUAUUACAGAACCCUUGGUAAAUUUCCACUUUCCGCUACUGAAGAAAUUCUCAUAGCCUUCCCUAUCCAAGGUCAUACGAGAAAUUAAGUUGAGAGACAAAUAUGGGAUAUAUAUGUAUAACAUUCCUCAAAGUAAUAGUGCAGCCUACAUCUGUUUGUAUGCAAACAUCACGAAUUCUAACAAUCUUGAACUGAUCAGUGUUACCCAUCCUAACAAACUAAAAGUCUCCAGUUUUGUAUGUCGUGAAGAAUUCUCUCUUGGGAGUAGCAUGAUACGAAGCACCUAUAUCAAUAACUCAAUUAAUUUUCUGAUCAACAAUAUGUAAGCAUUUUUUUUCCUUGAAUGAAAGAAUAACAUCAUCAGUAAUUGUAACUGUAGUAUUUUUCUCCUCAAACCUACCCUUGCUUAACAAUUUUCUGCUUAUCUAACCAGAUCUUACAAUUCCUUUUAAAUUGACCCUCCUUGCAAUGGAAACACAUGUAUGUAGCGCCUUCUCUGGUCUUUGACUUACUUAUAUUAUUUUGAAAUUUUUUACUUUUACCCCUGUUCUUUGCCACAAGUGCUUCUAUCUCAAAAUUCAAACACUGCUCUUUUUGCCUUAUUUCCUCAUUGUGUAUGCUAUCCUUGACCAUCUGUUUGGUGAUUUUUCUUUCUUGAGCUGAAUUGCUUAGUGAGACAACCAAAGUUUCCCAACUGUUAAGCAAAGAAUUGAGAAGAAACAACGCCUGAAUCUCGUCCUCAAGAUUCAAUUUGAUGGUAGACAACUAGUUUACCAAACCUUGGAACUCACACAUAUGUUCGGAUACACUGCUACCAUCUUUGUACUUCAAGUUCACGAUCUUUCUAAUCACAAAGGUCUUAUUAUGUACAUUCUUCUUCUCGUACAUGGACUCUAAUAUAGUCCAAAGUGUAUAAACAUCCGUUUCGUGCGAAACAUGAUGGAACUCACUCUGAUUAAUCUAUCGUCGGAUGUGACCGAUCUUCUUUCUUUUCAUCUUUUUCCAAUCAUCCUCAAACUUGUUCGCGGACUUUUUCCCUUUAAGCUCCAAUGGGUCAUACAAAUCCUUACAAUGAAGAAUGUCUUUCAUUCUAGGCUUAUAAAUUGAAAAAUUAGAUGAAGUCAAUUUAAUCAUGACACCUUGAUUCCUCCAUUUAAUUUAUCAAAAAAACAACUGCACAUAAAACAUUGCUCUUGAUACCACUUUGUUGAAAAAAUGCAAUUAUAAUUGUCUUUAAUAAAUUAAAUAACAAACCACGCCAAACAAAUAAUUUAAUUCCACCAAAUAAAUUAUAACCGCAAAAAUAAUAGUACGAAAAAUAAACCAGAUACAAGAUAUCAAAUUUUACGUGAAAAAUUCUUUGAAACCAAAAGAUAAAAACCACGGGUCCAACUCCAAAAAAAAUUCACUAUAAUCUAUUGCGAGUGCAAAUAGUCUUUCUUCCAAAUUUUAUAACUAAAAACUUGAAAUAUUAUAAAAUUAAGAAAAUACAAAACUGAUAAUCAUUUCACGCAAAUUAUAGAACCCUCAAUUUCUCUCUCCAAUUAUCCGUGAAAUAACCAAAACUAAUGAUAUGUUACCUCACAAACUGAUUAUAUAAAACUCACUUUUGGAUUCCUUACGCUUUCUUAUUCAGUGGGUUCACGCCUAAAGUUGUAAAAUGAGCAAAUAGUUCGGACUCGAUUCAUAUUCACUCGGCUAAAAGUUCGAUUCGAUCUCGACUUGAAAUAUAAAUGAGUCAAAUAUGAGCAUAUUUUAAAAGUCGAUGAAUUACCCGAACCUUCUCAAAUUGUAAUAUUCUAUUGAUACUCGGAUCAUAUUUGUUUGAAAAAUUCAAACUGCUCGGACUAGAUUCGGAAUCGUGCUCGACUCGGUAGCUAAAUGAGCCUCAAUCAAACUUUAUUUUAUACUCAAUAAAUUUUGUGAACCAAAUCUGAGUAACUCAAUACUCGGAUCGAUUCAGUUCGUUUACACCCUUAUUCACGCCACAUAUACCAUAUAUAUAUACACUCCAAAUCCAGAUAUGCUAUAAAAUAAUGUUACUAUCACAUAAAAAAAAUCACAUAAUGCUCACAAACAUAUACAUCCAUAUUGCGGGCCUUACAUGUCAGGCGGGAACCCACAGUAUGCCAAAAUAAAAAAAAACAACUUAUUGACUUCCUGCCUAAAAUAGAAUUAAGUCCACACGGUUUUUAUUCCAAUCACCAAUUCCGUGUUAUACUCCCUGAUUCUUUGCCAAUUAGAUUUUUGCCCAUAAACCUCAUGGGUUUGGACCAAUAUGCCCAGCAUAAUGCAGAUACAGUCGAUCUUGUUUUGUGUAAUGUAUACCCAAUUGGAGUUAUGGGGCCAUACAUACUGCUUAGCCACGACCCAUGUUAUUUUAAGCCCAAAAAAAACUCAUGGUAAAGCUUAAUACGGGGCAUCCAAAAGUUUUCUGAAUUUUGAAAUUAUUUGGUUAUUUCAUAAUUUGUCACGACAUGUGUACAGGUCAAGGUCAAAUUUUGUGUAUUUUUUUAAAUUUUUUGAAAAUUCAGUGGUUUUAAUAUGAAAAAAUAAUCUAUAUAUUUUUUUCCAUAUCUUGACAAGAGUAAACAUAUAGUAUCUUGGUGAUUAAGUCUAAUUACUUAUUAGGAAAAUUAAUAGUAUUAGCGAUCAAUUAAUUAGACAACCCCAAUGAUAUCAUUUAUAGUGAUCUCUCUAUUGAAAUGGAGGUUAAUAUUAAUCAAUGGUGGCUUGUAGGAAAAAUAAAAUGUCAGACAUAAUACGAUAAAAUGAAGAUUCUAAAUUACGGUGACUAUGUCAGACAGACAGCGUACGACAAAAAAGAAGAAGACAAUAAACGAAGAUUCACAAGUAUAAUGAUUAUGUUAGAUAGACUGUAUGACAAACACAUAAAAAAAGAGAGAGAUUAAAUUUGAGAAAUAUGUCAUUAAAAUCUUAUAUAUAUAUAUAUAUAUAUAUAUAUAUAUAUUGAUUAUUUAAUAAAAACUUCAUCUGAAAUUUCUCAAAUAUUAAUUACAUUAGGAAACAUUUAAGUUAAAAUUGUCUAGACAUUAAUUUAUUUUUUAUUUUGUGAAAACUGAUAUAUCUUGGGACAAAAAAAUUGUGACUUUUAUAUCAUAUUCAUUGGUUACCCGAUAAUUAACGAUGUUUUAUUGCAAGAUAUUGGAGAACUAUUUAAUAAUAGUCGAAAGAAUUUGGGAUCUCCUAGUAGUCAUAGUUAGAUUCUUAAAUCAUAAAAAAUUAAUUUCUUAAUUUGUUGUACAUAUUAACAUAUAUGUAUGUGUGUUCACAUGCAUACAUAUUUGUCUAUAUAAAGAUCUACCUUUUUAUUUGUUGAAUCAGUCAAUUUUAAAAUCAUUGAUAACAAGUGAAGAGGACUUGUCAAGUCAUAUGAUGAGUUUUCAGGUCUACUUUAAUGGACAUGGGGUGUUAACUCAAAAUUAUGAAUUAAUUGAAUCAUCAGAUUCAUAACCACUAAACCAUUUUUAGCACCUUGUCCAUUUUCUAUCCUUUUAAAGAGAGACAGAUAUGGUAGAUCGAUAUAUACUUAUGUAUAUAUACGCACAAGAUAUACAGAAAAGAAACAUAAUUACCUGCAUAAAGAUUCUCUCAGCUUCUUCAUGACCAUACUUUCUGAUCACCUCCAAGGCACUUGCCUACAUAUAAUUAACUCAACAAUUAAAAUUAUUAACAUUAAUUAAUCAAAGCAACAAUUAAAAGAGAACACAUAAUUACCCUCAGGGCAUUCAACUCCUCAUGGGAGAGAGUUUUCGGUUCAUUUGCUAGAUCAAGAUAUCCAUUCGACUUGAUUCCGUUCUUCGGAGAGGAGGAUGAAGAUCCCACCAUUGUUUCAGGCAAUGAGAGAGAAAAAAGGAGAGAAAUGAGAGGAAAAAAAGAGGAGAGAAAUGAGAAGAAGAGAAAAAAAG